rnacentral:rRNA from 1 species
GAUGAACGCUGGCGGCGUGCCUAAUACAUGCAAGUCGAGCGAACAGAUGAGGAGCUUGCUCCUCUGACGUUAGCGGCGGACGGGUGAGUAACACGUGGAUAACCUACCUAUAAGACUGGGAUAACUUCGGGAAACCGGAGCUAAUACCGGAUAAUAUAUUGAACCGCAUGGUUCAAUAGUGAAAGACGGUUUUGCUGUCACUUAUAGAUGGAUCCGCGCCGCAUUAGCUAGUUGGUAAGGUAACGGCUUACCAAGGCAACGAUGCGUAGCCGACCUGAGAGGGUGAUCGGCCACACUGGAACUGAGCCACGGUCAAGACUCCUAAGGGAGGCAGCAGUAGGGAAUCUUCCGCAAUGGGCGAAAGCCUGACGGAGCAACGCCGCGUGAGUGAUGAAGGUCUUCGGAUCGUAAAACUCUGUUAUUAGGGAAGAACAAAUGUGUAAGUAAAUAUGCACGUCUUGACGGUACCUAAUCAGAAAGCAACGGCUAACUACGUG